GUAGUUUCUAUAAAUAAAUAAAUAUAUAAAAGAAAAGAAGAGGAAAGCAGAAUCGGGAAAGAGGAGAGGAGGAAAAAGAAGGGAAAAGAAAGAAAGAAAGGAAGAAGGAGAAGAAGAGAAGGGAAGAGGGAGUUGGUGCUGGAUUUUUUUUUUCUGAGUUUCUCUACCAAGAAAGAACACUAACAAGGGGAAAAGAAGGAUUUUGAUCUGGGGUACAAGGAAUUUGAGAGAGAGAAAUGGAGAAGAAGUUGAACAGUAGCAAAAACAGGGGUUCAGCAAAGGCAGCAUGUUUCUCUUCCAUCCAGGAAGAUCUUUUGAUUAUGGUUUUAAGUGGAUGGAAGGUGAUAUUUGCUAGUUGGUAUCAUGAGAUCAGUUUUGUAGAGGUUAAUUGAAAAGAGAAUCAGGUUGAUGGUUUUUAGAGCUCCGAAUGGCUAGACUCCAUGGUUCUGGGGAAGCAAGGGAAGGAAAUCUAUAGUAGAGAAUAAGGGUGUGACAAAGAGAAAGGAAAGAGAAGGGUAGAGAGACGUGAUAUUUUCCCCCACUCGUUGUACAAGAUUGACCAAGAAAUUAAUGAGCACAUUGUAUGGAGAUAAUUAAUGUAGAAACUGUGCAAAGUCUAUCCCCUACUAUGGUAAGACAAACUAGCAUAAUGUCUAUGUUAUACAUUGAUAAUUUACAAUUUAUAUUUUUUAAUUUAAUUUUUAAUUAUGUUCUAAAUAAAAUAAAUUAUUAUUGUUAAA